UCCUCCGUGGCGCAAUUGGCUAGCGCGUCUGACUGUUAAGAUUGCAAUCAGGAGGUUCGUGGUUCGAGCCCACGCGGGGGAG
rnacentral:tRNA from 1 species